GAAAGUGGAAAUUAAAGACUCCCCUACAUCUGGCUCUGCAGCUGGGACAGCUUCACUUCUGCACUCGUCCUUUAUAUGAUUCCUGGAGGAUGACGGUCCCGCAAGCAUCUCCUGCCUCCUCUUCAGAGCAUCUCCUUGGUCCUUCCCAUGAGCAGUUUCUGUGCAGCCCCAGUUCCAGUGGGAGAAUAAUCUCAUACUUUCCUGUUGCUUCCCAAGAAGAUGGCCUGGGGCUUCCUAGGGCAGGGCCGAGGAUGAAGCAGGCUUCUCCCUGGUGCAGCUUUCUUCUAAUAGAGUGGGAGAGGAGAGACGGAGAGGCCAAACGAAGCUGCCGGGGCUCACUGCAAAAGUCAGAGGCAAAAGGAACUGUGCUUUCCUUGGAAACGAACUGAUGAGUUUCCCAA
rnacentral:lncRNA from 1 species